GGCCGACUAGCUCAGUUGGUUAGAGCGUCGUGCUAAUAUGCAAUGUUAUGUUACGCGAAGGUCUUGGGUUCGAUCCCCACGUUGGCCA
rnacentral:tRNA from 1 species